GACGAACGCUGGCGGCGUGCCUAAUACAUGCAAGUAGAACGCACAGUUUAUACCGUAGCUUGCUACACCAUAGACUGUGAAUUGCGAACGGGUGAGUAACGCGUAGGUAACCUGCCUGGUAGCGGGGGAUAACUAUUGGAAACGAUAGCUAAUACCGCAUAAUAUUAAUUAUUGCAUGAUAAUUAAUUGAAAGGUGCAAUUGCACCACUACCAGAUGGACCUGCGUUGUAUUAGCUAGUAGGUGAGGUAACGGCUCACCUAGGCGACGAUACAUAGCCGACCUGAGAGGGUGAUCGGCCACACUGGGACUGAGACACGGCCCAGACUCCUACGGGAGGCAGCAGUAGGGAAUCUUCGGCAAUGGACGAAAGUCUGACCGAGCAACGCCGCGUGAGUGAAGAAGGUUUUCGGAUCGUAAAGCUCUGUUGUAAGAGAAGAACGGGUGUGAGAGUGGAAAGUUCACACUGUGACGGUAUCUUACCAGAAAGGGACGGCUAACUACGUG
rnacentral:rRNA from 1 species